rnacentral:rRNA from 1 species
ACGCUCGACACCUACGGGAGGAAGCAGUAGGGAAUCUUCCACAAUGGACGCAAGUCUGAUGGAGCAACGCCGCGUGAGUGAAGAAGGUUUUCGGAUCGUAAAGCUCUGUUGUUGGUGAAGAAGGAUAGAGGUAGUAACUGGCCUUUAUUUGACGGUAAUCAACCAGAAAGUCACGGCUAACUACGUGCCGGCAGCCGCGGUAAUCUGAGCGGGCUGGCAAGGC